rnacentral:rRNA from 1 species
AGUCGAACGGACUUAAUCGAUUCUUUUAGAUUCGAAGCGGUUAGUGGCGGACUGGUGAGUAACACGUAAGCAACCUGCCUGUUAGAGGGGAAUAACAGUGAGAAAUCACUGCUAAAACCGCAUAUGCCGUGAACAUCGCAUGAUGAAAACGGGAAAAGAGCAAUCUGCUAAUAGAUGGGCUUGCGUCUGAUUAGCUAGUUGGUGUGGUAAAGGCAUACCAAGGCAACGAUCAGUAGCCGGACUGAGAGGCUGAACGGCCACAUUGGGACUGAGAUACGGCCCAGACUCCUACGGGAGGCAGCAGUCGGGAAUAUUGCGCAAUGGAGGAAACUCUGACGCAGUGACGCCGCGUAUGGGAAGAAGGUUUUCGGAUUGUAAACCAUUUUAGACAAGGAAGAAACAAGACAGUACUUGUAGAAUAAGCUCCGGCUAACUACGUGCCAGCAGCCGCGGUAAUACGUAGGGAGCAAGCGUUAUCCGGAUUUAUUGGGUGUAAAGGGUGCGUAGACGGGAAGGUAAGUUAGUUGUGAAAUCCCUCGGCUCAACUGAGGAACUGCGACUAAAACUGCUUUUCUUGAGUGCUGGAGAGGAAAGUGGAAUUCCUAGUGUAGCGGUGAAAUGCGUAGAUAUUAGGAGGAACACCAGUGGCGAAGGCGACUUUCUGGACAGUAACUGACGUUGAGGCACGAAAGUGUGGGGAGCAAACAGGA